rnacentral:rRNA from 1 species
UACGAAGGGGGCGAGCGUUGUUCGGAAUUACUGGGCGUAAAGGCGCGUAGGCGGCCGAUCAAGUCAGAUGUGAAAGUCCUGGGCUUAACCUGGGGGACUGCAUUUGAUACUGAUUGGCUUGAAUGCAGGAGAGGAUAGCGGAAUUCCCAGUGUAGAGGUGAAAUUCGUAGAUAUUGGGAAGAACACCGGUGCGAAGGCGGCCCACUGGUCCGGUACUGACGCUGAGGUGCGAAAGCGUGGGGAGCAAACAGG